GACGAUUUUCUAAUGGAGACAAAAGCGCCUGGAGAGGAGAGCACUUUUCGCCUUCAGUUGUUUGGAACUGAGGUUGGAGAGUGAGUACCUACGCCCUCAUGCUGAUGGCCUUGCUCAUAUCAGGUGUCUGAAGGAGACAGCUUCUGAAGAUCAGUGUCCUGGUGACUGAUGGAACGUCCACUGCAGGUUAAAGGCCAGCGGUCCUCCAGAGACCCCAACACUUCACAUCUUCAGUUGGAUAUGAUGCCUGACUCAAAUGAGUUCAUAUGUAUGGUAAAAGUUUCCUCAUUCACCCAUCAAGACAGCUUUGUGACAAAAGCACCAUGAGGCCCAGUCACAGAUGCCCAAGAUCAUGGUGACAGAGCUGGGAUCACCUCUGCAAAGUAAUAUAUGCAAUGUUAUCCAGAAAGAGGAGGUUUGCAAAGGAACACUGCAAUAGGAUACUGGCACCAGGUACAUCAUCCACCUUUGGGUAAGUCUUUUCCCCUGUGCUGGUUGUUUUUCAGAUAAAAUCUGUGAGAUAGAUAUAGAGGUAAAUGAGAUCCCAUUUAGGAAAGAGCCUUUCCUUUUGAGACCUUAGUUGGGAAGGAACAAGCGGUGAUUUCCAAAUAAUUACUUUCCAGUCUUCAGCUCUUAUCACACUCUGUAUCAGAUGAAGUCAGUAGUCCUCAUACUGUUUCUUAAUUCAAUGACCUCUUAUGCAUGGUCAUAGGAUGAUUGGAACUUAAAACUUGCAAAAAAGCAGGAUUCUUGACCUUAGGAAACCAUGAAGAACUCAGCUUUCCUGAAUGUCUGCUACUUUUAUCCUCAUGUAUUUUGCACAACAUUCCGGGGAGGUAAAGCAUGAUUUCCACACCAUUUUGUAGCUGGUGAAGUAGUGAUGUACAGAGAUUAGGUAACCUGGCUGGGGGUCAUCCUGCUACUAAGAAAAGCAGAGACUAGCUCGCCGGCUCGGCGGUGCGUGCGGGGCCGGCCCGGCGAGGAGG